rnacentral:lncRNA from 1 species
UUUUACAUCCACACAACCAUGAGCCUUUUCUUUGUUUUUUUUCUUUCUUUUCUUUUUCUUUGCUCUAUGGUUUCAAGGGUGAUUUCUUUUUCUUGUUUCUUUUCAUAUUUAGUUUUUUUUCUUUCUUUUCUUUUUCUUUGCUCUAUGGUUUCAAGGGUGAUUUCUUUUUCUUGUUUCUUUUCAUAUUUUCACCCUUUCAUAAAAACUCACUUUUCCAAGUUUCUAAUCAACUCUUUUUUUCUUUACUCUCCCCAACUUUAGAUUCCAAAACCAAAUUUAUUCAAUAAUGCUCCCUACUUAGAUAUAAGCAAAAGGCAAAAUUUGCAAACAACUCGGUUUGAGGGUUCAAUUGACACGAAAGAUAUUAGGAUUCAUUUAUUCACAAAAUUUUCAAUUGAUUUUACACUUAUCAAUCAAAUGAAUCCUAAAGUAAGCUCAAAGGGGGUUAACUAAGGAUCACUCCUCACAAGGUUAGUUGAUUCAAAAAAUUUUGGUCAAGUGGUUUU